GCCUUUUGUAAAUUAAGCUGGACCAGCAAGGUUGAAAACCGCACUAGAACGCCCCCUGGUGGAUAUUUUGUUAUGUUUCGGUGACGCUAAAAAAGAAUAUAGAUCCAAGAUGGUGGAAAGCAUCACCGAACAGUUCAUGGAUUAAGCUGAUUAUUAUCCUUAUACGUUGUGUUUCAGACAAGAUUUGUUCGUAAGUAUUGGUUAAUUGUGAAAACAACAAUUGUCUCUUUGUUUUAUGUAACUGUGGUUGUUGGAUUCACUCCUCCCAUUCCGCUAGGGGGCUCUGUAGUUGUUUUGCAUUGGUAGCGGAGGGGAGGUGAAACAAGAGAAGAAACUUACGGCAGGCCAGUAAUACACCGAGACUGCCGUUAGCUGAAGCUAACAAGCUGAAGCUACAUUAAAAUCAUAUUCUACUGGCGUUCAUGAGUGUUGCCCAACGUGUUUAACCGGACGGCACGUCCAUGUAAAAGCACUCGGCAAUAAAAUUAACAACAACGACUA